UGGGGUAGUGGAGAUUGAUCGUGAGGGUUCGAUGCCGACCCCCAUCCUCUUCUCCUGCUUCUUUCCAAUCGGCUGCGUCUUUCUCAGUGGAUGCUUUUUCUACUGCUAUAUUUUGAGAAAUCCUAGUGAACUAGAAAGAACUCAAGCCUAAGGAUCUUGCAGAUGUCAUAAAGACUUGAUCAAUGAGCUUCGGUUACCUGUUUCUGAUUGAGAUAACAAGUGGAUCGUUGUAUACUUGGACAGCAGCAUGAACUUGCUUGGUUAUUGCAGAACUCUUGCUUUACCAAAGGGACAGCACAAAUGAGAUGGACGGUAUUUAGAUACUCUCAGGUUGCUCAACAGCAUUGAUGGCCUUGCACUGAUGAAUUCUUCUGGUUUUAGUCCUUAGUGCUUUUGCAAGAUGAGGAAAUUAGGACACAGUUGUUCCGCGGGAAGGCGGCCGUAUUAAAAAGAGAUACAAGUAGUUGAAACAUGUGCUUUGGAGUUACAUGAUCUGACUGUGUCAGUUGCGAGGAAGAAACCAAGCAAAAUAGCAAUGGCAUUAACCAAGAAGAGAGAGUUAUUGCACCAAAGAAGAGCACUGAUGUAGAAAGACAAAGGUGACAAGAGUGUGCUAUCAGUUGGUCCCACAGGGCAAAGAGGCUCGGCACUUCAUUGUUACCGUCCCCUACUCUCUGAUACCAUGGCAACUGAUAGCAGCUCCUAGAAUUCUUUGGAGUUCUCAUUCGUGUGUCACCCUUUUGGGCAACGUGGAAGGCGACGCGGUGAUGGCGCUGUCGGAUUUCGACUACCCCUCCACAUCCAUCUUCAUAUGCCUAAUGGAUCCAAGUGAUGAAGCAAAUCCAGCGCAGGAGGCAAGCUCGUGAUGGCAUCCUCCAUAUCCAUCUUCAUAUGCCAAAUGCAAAUGGAUCCAAAUGAUAAAGCAAAUCCAGCGCAGGAAGCAGUCUCGUGAUGGCAUGCAAAGCGGGGAAGAAGCACGUGAAUGCCUUUGAUCCUGACAGUGGCUUAUCGUUGAAAACCCCACAUGAACUUUCACUACGGACGGAAGCCUUCCACGUUACGCAGAUGGCUUUUGCUCCUCAUCAUUUAUCAUCUUCGUAGCCUUUAAAAGCAGGGAGCUUUGGAGCUGUGUGAGCUGCAAGUCAUACCACACAUCACAUGACAGGUGGGCCGAGUGAUUAGAUGGCAGGAGCAAGAGUGGAACACUGCUCGAGUCUUGGCUUCCUCUGCUGUGGCACCAUUAUUAAAGCUGAAGGAUGGGAACUGAAGAGAAAACCAUGUGCUCGCAUGUACGCCACAUGCAUCAGCUUCCCUCCCCAUGGACAGAUGAAGAAGAUAACUUCUCAAGGGUGGCGCCGAGAGUUUUAAGUUGGAAAGCGACGCUUCGCGGUGUUCCAGCUGUGAAAGAGCAGCUGGAAAGGAGGAAGACUUCCUGUGCUUUGAGCUUAGCCGUCGUCAAUGGUGGGUCUCUCAAUCUCCAAGUAGCUUGUUUCCUGUCCGUUCUUGGAGUAAAACCAGCAAGCUUUUAGGAUUAUCGGUGACAGUCAUCAGAUGUAGGUUGUCGUUCCGAGGUACGGAGUAUGAAAUCAAUCAUGCUCGUUUCACCUGCUCCGUUAUUGUUGCGAGGGUGAGAGAUGUUUGUGAGUCACGAGAGUGUACCCUUACUGCCAAUGGACAGAAGGGUAAUGUAAUGAGAGGUACCACAGCCGAUGUCAGCAUGCAACCAACGUGGGAUGUUCUCCCCCAUCAAUCGCGAUUAUUGUUAUUUAGCACUGCCUGCUAUUUGAUCUGUCUAUGGAUCAUUUAGGGGAUCGAUGAGCGUGUUUCUUACGUGUAACGAAGGAAAAAGAUCCACCUGAUGGGUGGAGAUUAAUACUUGUCA